rnacentral:tRNA from 1 species
GGCGGCGUAGCUCAGCUGGCUAGAGCGUACGGUUCAUACCCGUAAGGUCGGGGUUCGAUCCCUCUGCCGCCA